ACUGACUCUCUUUUCGGACUCAGCCCGCCUGCACCCAGGUGAAAUAAACAGCCUUGUUGCUCACACAAAGCCUGUUUGGUGGUCUCUUCACACGGACAUGCAUUAAAUUUGGUGCCGUGACUCAGAUCAGGGGACCUCCCUUGGGAAAUCAAUCCCCUGUCCUCCUGCUCUUUGCUCCGUGAGAAAGAUCCACCUACGACCUCAGGUCCUCAGACCAACCAGCCCAAGAAACAUCUCACCAAUUUCAAAUCCAGUAAGCCGCCUCUUUUUACUCUCUUCUCCAACCUCCCUCACUAUCCCUCAGCCUCUUUCUCCUUUCAAUCUUGGUGCCACACUUCAAUCUCUCCCUUCUUUUAAUUUCAAUUCCUUUCAUUUUCUGGUAGAGACAAAGGAGACAUGUUUUAUCCCUGGACCCAAAACUCUGGCGCCGGUCACGGACUAGGGAAGGCAGCUUUCCCUUGGUGUUUAAUCAUUUCAGGGACACCUCUCUGAUUAUUUACCCAGGUUUCAGAGGUGUCAGACCACGCAGGGAUGCCUGCCUUGGUCCUUCACCCUUAGUGGCAAGUCCUGCUUUUCUGGGGAAGGGGCAAGUACCCCAACCCCUUCUCUCCGUGUCUCUACCCCUUCUCUGCCUUUCUGGGGGGCAAGAAACCCCCAACCCUUUCUCCUUCACCCUGAGUGGCAAGUCCCACUUUUCUAGAGGAGGGGAAAGUACCCCAACCUCAUAUCUCUGCACCUCAAUCCCUUAUUUCCACACCCCAACCUAUUAUCUCUGUGCCCCAAUCCCUUAUUUCCAUGCCCCAACCUCUUAUCUCUGCACCACAAUCCCUUAUUUCCAUGCCCCGACAUCUUAUGUCUCCACGCCCUGACCUCGUAUCUCUGCACCCCGACCCCUUUCCUGCUUUUCUGGAGGGUAAGAACCCCUGAACCGCUUCCCUCCGUGUCUCUACUCUCCCUUUUCUUUAAACUUGCCUCCUUCACUAUAGGCAACCUUCCACCCUCCAUUCCUCCUUCUUCUCUCUUAGCCUGUGUUCUCAAAAACUUAAAACCUCUUCAACUCACACCUGACCUAAAACCUAAAUGCCUUAUUUUCUUCUGCAAUGCCGCUUGACCCCAAUACAAACUCAACAGUAGUUCCAAAUAGCCGGAAAACAGCACUUUCAAUUUUUCCAUCCUGCAAGAUCUAAAUAAUUCUUGUCGUAAAAUGGGCAAACGGUCUGAGGUGCCUGACGUCCAGGCAUUCUUUUACACAUCGGUCCCUCCCCAGUCUCUGUGCCCAAUGCAACUCAUCCCAAAUCUUCCUUCUUUCCCUCCCACCUGUCCCCUCAGUCCCAACCCCAAGCAUCACUGAGUCUUUCUAAUCUUCCUUUUCUACAGACCCAUCUGACCUCUCCCCUCCUCCCCAGGCUGCUCCUCACCAGGCCGAGCUAGGUCCCAAGUCUUCCUCAGCCUCCGCUCCUCCACCCUAUAAUCCUUUUAUCACCUCCUCUCCUCACACCCAGUCCGGUCCGGCUUACAGUUUCAUUCCGUGACUAGCCCUCCCCCACCUGCCAGCAAUUUACUCUUAAAAAGGUGGCUGGAGCUAAAGGCAUAGUCAAGGUUAUUGCUCCUUUUUCUUUAUCCCAAAUCAGAUAGCGUUUAGGCUCUUUAUCAAUAUAAAAAUCCAGCCCAGUUCAUAACUUGUUUGGCAGCAACCCUGAGACACUUUACAGCCCUAGACCCUAAAAGGUCAAAAGGCCGUCUUAUUCUCAAAAUACAUUUUAUUACCCAAUCUGCUCCUGACAUUAAAUAAAACUCCAAAAAUUAAAUUCCAGCCCUCAAACCCCACAACAGGAUUUAAUUAACCUCGCCUUCAAGGUGUACAAUAAUAGAAAAAAGUUGCAAUUCCUUGCCUCCACUGUGAGACAAACCCCAACCACAUCUCUAGCACACAAGAACUUCCAAAUGCCUGAACCGCAGCGGCCAGGCGUUCCUCCAGUACCGCCUCCCCCAGGAGCUUGCUACAAGUGCCAGAAAUCUGGCCACCAGGCCAAGGAAUGCCUGCAGCCCAGGAUUCCUCCUAAGCCGCGUCCCAUCUGUGCGAGACCCCACUGGAAAUCGGACUGUCCAACUCACCUGGCAGCCACUCCCAGAGCCCCUGGAACUCUGGCCCAAGGCUCUCUGACUCCUUCCCAGAUCUUCUUGGCUUAGCGGCUGAAGACUGACGCUGCCCAGUCGCCUCGGAAGCCCCCCUACAUCAUGGACGCUGAGCUUCAGAUAACUCUCACAGUGGAAGUUUGGUCCAGAGAGCUGCCUUAGACUCCCCAGUAAAUCUAUUCAAACAGCUGCCUCUGUUACCUUGACUCGUCUCAGAUGUCAUCGACCUGAGAUGGCUCCUGGCGCAAGGAAGGGCAUUCCAGAGUCAACCUAAAAAUCAAGUUCAGGCCAUGAUGGAAGAGACGGAGUUGGACAUGCCUCAUUAUUCCCUACUGCCUUUUGGAACUCAGGAAAAGCUGAUCAGCAUUAACAUCAACACAGACCUUAGUCUGAUAAGAAGCAUUUAUAAUCUAUUGUCUCUGAAACUUGCUAUUUGGUGGCUUCGUCUGCAUCAUAAAACUAUCUCCAAAAACCCUCAUUUUAACCUAGACAUUCUUUUCUAUUGAUAUAACUCUUUCAACCAAUUGCCAAUCAGAAAAGUUUUAAAUCUGUUUAUGACCUGGAAGCCCCCACUUUGAAUUGUUCCACACUUCCAGAUCAAGCCAAUGUAAAUCUUAUAUGCAUUGAUUGAUGCAUUAUGUCUCCCUAAAAUGUACAAAAAGCUAGCUGUACCCUGACCCCAUUGGGCACAUGUCAUCAGGACCUCCUGAGGCUGUUUCACAGGCAUGUCUUUAACCUUGGUAAAAUAAACUUUCUAAAUUAAGAACAACCUCAAAUAUUUUAUAUAUAUAUAUUUAGAGGGAGUCUUGAUCUCUUGAUCGAUCACCCAGUCUUGAGGGCAGUGGCGUGAUCACGGCUCACUGCAACAUCUGCCUUCAGGCUCAAGUGAUCCUUCUGCCUCAGCCUCCCAAGUAGCUGGGACUAUAGGCACAUGCCACCAUGCCUGGCUAAUUUUUGCAUUUUUUUGUAGAGAUGGGGUCUCAGUAUGUUGCCCAGGCUGGUCUCAAACUCCUAAGCUCAAGCAAUUUACCUGCUUGACCUUCCAAAGUGCUGGGAUUACAGAUGUGAGCCAUCAUGCCUGACCUUUCUCAGAUAUUUUAGGUUCACAAAUUGGAAACCAUGAAGGGAUUCUGAGUGGAGGUGCCCCUGACUUUAGACAAAUCUCCUAUCGGUGCUUCGUAUUAGGUUUAGCUACUUUUUUGGCUCAAACCAAUAGGACAAUUUGCAGACACCUGGGUGCUCCCCCUCACUACUCCAGAGAAUCCCUGAUCUCCCAAAAUUUGGUUGAGAUAUAAAGUUUAUUUUGUUGCACACCUUCUUUUCAAGACAUAUAGGAAACAGAUUAUCUAAGAAUGACCCCUUCACACACCUAUUUUGUUUUACGGUGCCUCUCCUUGCAAGUGGUUGUGUAAAUGAAAGAACAUGUCACAUCUUCUAAUAUUCCAGUUUAGUUAAACAUUACGUCUGUUCUUGUGCACAUUUUAAACUAACAGGGAAAUCACAUCAAGGAAAAUUCAGAGCCUAAAAGUUGACCUGCAACUAUAAAGUUUCUAAGUUCUCUGUCAAUCUCUCUGUUUUCUUUUCUUCCUGCUUUUUACGUCUCCUGUUAAUUUUCUAUUAGAUAAAAUCCACUGUUUACAUCCAAAUGUUUCUUUUCAUUAUUUGCUUCUGCAAACCAGUGAGUUUGUAUUAAUACUUUAUGGCUAGAGUUCUGAAGUAAAAGCUAUAAGAUUUUUGUUUGUAUAACUGUGUAUGUGUGUAUUUAUGUGUAUGUAUUGUAUUAGUCCAUUUUCACACUGCUGAUAAAGACAUACCGGAGACUGAGUAAUUUACAAAAUAAAGAGGUUUAAUAGACACAUGUAGAACAUGGCUGGGGAGGCCUAACAAUCAUGGUGGAAAGCAAGGAGGAACAAGUCACAUCUUACAUGGAUGAUGGCAGGCAAAGAGAGAGAGCUUGUGCAGGGAAACUCCCACUUAUAAAACCAUCAGAUCUUGUGAGAUUUAUUCACUAUCAUGAGAACAGCACAGAAAAGACUUCAUGAUUCAAUUACUUCCCACCAGAUUCCUUUAACAACACAUGGGAAUUUGAGAUGAGACUUGGGUGGGGACACAGCCAAACCAUAUUAUUCUGCCCCUUGCCCCUCCCAAAUCUCAUUUCCUCACAUGUCAAAACCAGUCAUGUUUCCCCAACAGUCCCCCAAAGUCUCAACUCAUUUCAGUAUUAGCUCAAAAGCCCAUAGUCCAAUGUUGCAUCUGAGACAAGGCAAAUCACUUCUGCCUAUGAGUCUGUAAAAUCAAAAGCAAGUUAGCUACUUCCUAGCUACAAAGGGGGUACAGGUAUUGGGUAAAUACACCCAUUCCAUAUUAAAGAAAUUGGCCAAAACAAAAAGGCUACAGGCCCCAUGCCAGUCUGAAAUCCAGCAGGUCAGUUAAAUUUUAAGGCUCCAAAAUGAUCUCCUUUGACUCCAGGUCUCAUAUCCAGGCCACACAGGCACAAAAGGUGGGUCUCCAUGGUCUUGGGCAGCUCUGCCUAUGUGGCUUUGCAAGGUGCAGUCUCCCUUCUGGCUGCCUUCACAGGCUGUCAUUGAGUGUCUGUGGCUUUUUCAGGCACACAGUGCAAGCCAUCAGUUGAUCUAACAUUCUGGGAUCUGGAGGACUGGAGGAUGGUGACUCUCUUCUCACAGAUCCACUAGGUGGUGCCCCAAUAGGGACACUGUGUGGGGGCUCCAACCCAUUUCUAUUCUGCACUGCCCUAGCAGAGAUUCUCUAUGAGGUCCCUGACCCUGCAGCAAACUUCUGCCUGGACAUCCUGGCAUUUCCAUACAUCUUCUGAAAUCCAUGUGGAGGUCCCCAAACCCCACUUCUUGACUUGUGUACACUCACAGGCUCAACGCCACAUGGAAGCUGCCAAGGCUUGGUGCUUGCACCCUCUGAAGCCAUGGCCUGAACUCUAGUUUGGCCCCUUUUAGCCAUUGCUGGAGUGGCUGAGACAUAGGACAGCAAGUCCAUGGACUGCACACAGCACGGGGAUCCUGGGUUCAGGCAACAAAACCACUGUCUCCUACUAGGCCUCCAGGCCUGUGAUGGAAGGGUCUCCAUGAAUACCUCUGACAUGCCCUGGAGGCAUUUUUCCCGUUGUCUUGGGGAUUAACAUUUGCCUCCUCAUUACUUAUGCAAAUUUCUGCAGCUGGCUUGAAUUUCUCCUCAGAAAAUGGGAUUUUCUUUUCUAUUGUAUUGUCAGGCUGCAAAUUUUCUCAACUUUUAUGCUCUGCUUCCCUUAUAAAACUGAAUGCCUUUAACAGCACCCAAGUCACAUCUUGAAUCCUUUACUGCUUAGGCAUUUCUUCUACCAGAUACCCUAAAUCAUCUCUCUCAAGUCUGAAGUUCCACAAAUCUUUAGGGCAGGGUCAAAAUGCCACCACUCUCUUUGCUAAAACAUAACAAGAGUCACCUUUGCUCCAGUUCCCAACAAGUUUCUUAUUUCCACCUGAGACCACCUCAGCCUGGACUUUAAUAUCCGUAUCACUAACAGCAUUUUGGCCAAAGCCAUUCAACAAGUCUCUAGGAAGUUCCAAACUUUUAUUGUCUUCUGAGCCCCACAAGCUGUUCUAACUUCUGCCUGUUACCCAGUUCCAAAGUUUCUUUGACAUUUGAAGGUAUCUUUUCAGCAGCUCACCCUCUACUGGUACCAACUUACUGUAUUAGUGCAUUUUCACACUGCUGAUAAAGCCAUAUUGAGACUGGGCAAUUUACAAAAGAAAGAGAUUUAGUGGACUUACAGUUUCACAUGGCUGGGGAGGCCUCACAAUUAUGGUGGAAGACAAGGAGGAGCAAGUCACAUCUUAUGUGGAUGGCACCAGGCAAAAAGGGAGAGUUUGUGCAGGGAAAUUUGGGUGGGGACACGGCCAAACUGUAUCACGUAUGCCUAUUUUGUUAUGUGUUUUUGACUACAAGGUACCAAGUUGACUUAAAGAGUACUCAUAAAUUAAAUAAAAAGCCAAACUGCUUUUCAAGUUCAUGUGACUUAAGUAAACUCUAAUAAAUUAGUUGGCUUUAAAAUCAUUGGUAAAGUAAUAUUAGAGAUGUUUCAAGAAUUGUCAGCCUACAUUUCUGUUUGCAUUAUUGAUCAAGUGAUUUUAUACUUAUCCCUGCCAAAUACUAUAAGGUGUCAAAAUUUGCCAUAAGGGUUAAAAACUAUAAACCCAGCCAAAAACAGAAUGACUUUUGCUUGUAUAAUUUUUUGAUAAAUAAAACAUUAAUAUUGUUGGUUUAAU